AGGACGAACGCUGGCGGCGUGCCUAACACAUGCAAGUGGAGCGACGAACCAGGCUUCGGCCUGGGGCAAAGCCGCGAACGGGUGAGUAACACGUGGGUAACCUGCCCCGAUGAUUGGGACAACCCGAGGAAACUCGGGCUAAUACCGAAUAUGACCUCCGGCCUCAAGGCCGCUGGGGAAAGGAAGCUUCGGCCUCCGCAUCGGGAUGGGCCCGCGGCCCAUUAGCUUGUUGGUGAGGUAACGGCUCACCAAGGCAACGAUGGGUAGCUGGUCUGAGAGGACGAUCAGCCACACUGGGACUGAGACACGGCCCAGACUCCUACGGGAGGCAGCAGUGGGGAAUCUUGCGCAAUGCGCGAAAGCGUGACGCAGCAACGCCGCGUGGGGGAAGAAGGCUUUCGGGUUGUAAACCCUUUCAGUUGGGACGAAGCUUCUUCGGUGAAUAGCCGAACGGAGUGACGGUACCUUCACAAGAAGCACCGGCUAACUACGUGCCAGCAGCCGC
rnacentral:rRNA from 1 species